GGCCGCCUGGCGAAAUGGCAUCGCGUCUGACUACGAGCAUAAUAUGACUCUGAUCAGGAGAUUGCAGGUUCGACCCCUGCGGUGGUCA